rnacentral:rRNA from 1 species
CAGGAUGAACGCUGGCGGCGUGCUUAACACAUGCAAGUCGAACGGGAUCCAUCAAGCUUGCUUGGUGGUGAGAGUGGCGAACGGGUGAGUAAUGCGUGACCGACCUGCCCCAUGCUCCGGAAUAGCUCCUGGAAACGGGUGGUAAUGCCGGAUGUUCCACAUGAUCGCAUGUGAUUGUGGGAAAGAUUCUAUCGGCGUGGGAUGGGGUCGCGUCCUAUCAGCUUGUUGGUGAGGUAACGGCUCACCAAGGCUUCGACGGGUAGCCGGCCUGAGAGGGCGACCGGCCACAUUGGGACUGAGAUACGGCCCAGACUCCUACGGGAGGCAGCAGUGGGGAAUAUUGCACAAUGGGCGCAAGCCUGAUGCAGCGACGCCGCGUGAGGGAUGGAGGCCUUCGGGUUGUAAACCUCUUAAGUUUGGGAGCAAGCCUUCGGGUGAGUGUACCUUUCGAAUAAGCGCCGGCUAACUACGUGCCAGCACGCCGCGGUAAUACGUAGGGCGCAAGCGUUAUCUGGAUUUAUUGGGCGUAAAGGGCUCGUAGGCGGCUCGUCGCGUCCGGUGUGAAAGUCCAUCGCUUACCGGUGGAUCUGCGCCGGGUACGGGCGGGCUGGAGUGCGGUAGGGGAGACUGGAAUUCCCGGAGUAACGGUGGAAUGUGUAGAUAUCGGGAAGAACACCGAUGGCGAAGGCAGGUCUCUGGGCCGUCACUGACGCUGAGGAGCGAAAGAGUGGGGAGCGAACAGAAGAAGAUACCCUGGUAGUCCACGCCGUAAAC